UGCAAGUCGAGCGCGGGAAGCGAGUGGAUCCCUUCGGGGUGAAGCUCGUGGAACGAGCGGCGGACGGGUGAGUAACACGUGGGCAACCUGCCUGUAAGACCGGAAUAACCCCGGGAAACCGGGGCUAAUGCCGGGUAAUACUUUUCUUCGCAUGAAGGAAAGUUGAAAGAUGGCUUCUUGCUAUCACUUACAGAUGGGCCCGCGGCGCAUUAGCUAGUUGGUGAGGUAACGGCUCACCAAGGCGACGAUGCGUAGCCGACCUGAGAGGGUGAUCGGCCACACUGGGACUGAGACACGGCCCAGACUCCUACGGGAGGCAGCAGUAGGGAAUCUUCCGCAAUGGACGAAAGUCUGACGGAGCAACGCCGCGUGAACGAUGAAGGUCUUCGGAUCGUAAAGUUCUGUUGUUAGGGAAGAACAAGUACCGUGCGAAUAGAGCGGUACCUUGACGGUACCUAACGAGGAAGCCCCGGCUAACUACGUGCCAGCAGCCGCGGUAAUACGUAGGGGGCAAGCGUUGUCCGGAAUUAUUGGGCGUAAAGCGCGCGCAGGCGGUUCCUUAAGUCUGAUGUGAAAGCCCACGGCUCAACCGUGGAGGGUCAUUGGAAACUGGGGAACUUGAGGACAGAAGAGGAGAGUGGAAUUCCACGUGUAGCGGUGAAAUGCGUAGAUAUGUGGAGGAACACCAGUGGCGAAGG
rnacentral:rRNA from 1 species